GACGAACGCUGGCGGCGUGCUUAACACAUGCAAGUCGAACGGAAAGGCCCUGCUUUUGUGGGGUGCUCGAGUGGCGAACGGGUGAGUAACACGUGAGUAACCUGCCCUUGACUUUGGGAUAACUUCAGGAAACUGGGGCUAAUACCGGAUAGGAGCUCCUGCUGCAUGGUGGGGGUUGGAAAGUUUCGGCGGUUGGGGAUGGACUCGCGGCUUAUCAGCUUGUUGGUGGGGUAGUGGCUUACCAAGGCUUUGACGGGUAGCCGGCCUGAGAGGGUGACCGGCGACAUUGGGACUGAGAUACGGCCCAGACUCCUACGGGAGGCAGCAGUGGGGAAUAUUGCACAAUGGGCGGAAGCCUGAUGCAGCAACGCCGCGUGCGGGAUGACGGUCUUCGGGUUGUAAACCGCUUUCGCCUGUGACGAAGCGUGAGUGACGGUAAUGGGUAAAGAAGCACCGGCUAACUACGUG
rnacentral:rRNA from 1 species